rnacentral:rRNA from 1 species
CACGUAGGGGGCAAGCGUUGUCCGGAAUUACUGGGCGUAAAGGGCGUGUAGGCGGUCUAUUAAGUCAGUGGUGAAAAUCCAGGGCUCAACCCUGGACUUGCCAUUGAAACUGGAAGACUUGAGGGCAGGAGAGGUAAGUGGAAUUCCUAGUGUAGCGGUGAAAUGCGUAGAUAUUAGGAAGAACACCAGUGGCGAAGGCGACUUACUGGCCUGACCCUGACGCUGAGGCGCGAAAGCGUGGGGAGCAAAC